CGGUGGAAAAGAAACUAACAAGGAUUCCCCUAGUAGCGGCGAGCGAAGCGGGAAGAGCCCGAAAUGAAAAGCCUGCUUGCAGGCGUUGUAUUUUGAAUGUUCUUGGGGUGUCAGUGCGGGUAAGUUGUAUGAAAGUACAUACCGUGGAGGGUGAGAGUCCCGUCCGGCCUGCACAGGACACCUCGUACAAGUUCAUUUCAGAUGAGUCGGGUAGCUUGGGAAUGCUGCUCUAAUUGGUGGUAAACUUCAUCAAAGGCUAAAUAUUGACCGGAGACCGAUAGUGAACAAGUACCGUGAGGGAAAGAUGACAAGCACUUUGAAAAGAGGGUGAAAAGAGCCUGAAACCGUCAUGGGGGAAGCGGAUUGCGUUGGGUUGAGUGGUUGCAGUGUGUUCAACUGGUUUGUCAGUGUAUUGGCACAGCAAUCGAUCUGUCGUGGGUUUGGGAUGGUUGAUUUUGCAACUGUUCUGGGCUGAGGGCUCCCUUUUAUAGGUGAGGACGAUGGAGGGACGACGCGAUACGACCCGUCUUGAAACACGGACCAAGGAGUCUAGCGCGGGUGCGAGUCAAAGGGUGCAAGCCUGAGGGCGUAGUGAAAGCAAAUGUGAAAACUUGCAGUUUGGGGCGGCAUAAGAUCGUUGAUCUUAAGACCGACCUAGAGCAGUUGCGCUGGGACCCGAAAGAUGGUGAACUAUGCCCGAGUAGGGCAAAGCCAGAGGAAACUCUGGUGGAGGCUCGUAGCGGUGCUGACGUGCAAAUCGCUCGUCAAACUUAGGUAUAGGGGCGAAAGACUAAUCGAACCAUCUAGUAGCUGGUUCCCUCCGAAGUUUCUCUCAGGAUAGCGGGCCGACAUGGUGUUGUUUUGUGCGGUAAAGCGAAUGAUUAGCGCACUCGGGGGCAGUUGGCCUUCGGGCGAUUCUCAAACUUUCAAUGCGCAAGGGUGCCGCUGCUUGGUUGAGCGGCACCGGUAAAAACGUCGGCCCUGUGGGCCACUUUUGGUAAGCAGAACUGGCGAUACGGGAUGAACCGUAAGUGAGGUUAAGGCGUCAAACUGCCCGCUUAGAGAUCCCACAAAAGGUGUUGAUUCAUCGAGACAGCAGGACGGUGGCCAUGGAAGUCGGAAUCCGCUAAGGAGUGUGUAACAACUCACCUGCCGAAUGAAUUAGCCCUGAAAAUGGAUGGCGCUAAAGCGGGAGGCCGACACCUCGCCGUCUGGUAAAUAAUUAUGAUCAGAUGAGUAGGAGGGCGUGGUGGUUGUGUCGAAGCAUGCGUGCAAACGUUUGUGGAACGGCCACUAGUGCAGAUCUUGGUGGUAGUAGCAAGUAUUCAAGCGAGAUCCUUGAAGGGCGAAGCGGGGAAGGGUUCCACGCGAACAUUGAUUGGGCGUGGGUGAGUCGUUCCUAAGCCGAGUGGCAAUUGCUAAGUAUUGGCGAAAGGGAAGCAGGUUGACAUUCCUGCACACGGAUGUGGAGGCGGUGACGCAUAUUGGGACAAACACGUUGGCGAUGGCGCUGGGCAGAGUUGUCUUUUCUGUUUGACCUGGCGCAUGCAGUGUGGAAUCCGCUUGUCGGGAGAAACACGCGUGAUGGGGCAGAGCGCCGGGGUUUUUCCGGCGUCCAGCUCGCCAUUGACGACCCUUGAAACUUUGUCUGAUGAUUAAAUCCACGCCGUGGCGUACCGAUCACCGCAUCAGGUCCCCAAGGUGAACAGCCUCUGCUCAAUAUGAAAAAUGCAGGUAAGGGAAGUCGGCAAAUUAGACCCCUAACUUUGGGAUAAGGGUUGGCUCUAGUGCUGCGUGGGAGUGGUUGCCUGUUAUCAAUCUGUCAGAUCAGACUGAUUCGGUGUGGGAUGGAAAGGUGUAAAAACUUGGAAAACCUGUGCUACGUUGGUUCAAUCAGGUAUUUUGUGAUGGGCGACGCCCACAGCAUGCAGCAGACUAGAACUGCAACGGGCAAAGGGAAUCCGACUGUUUAAUUAAAACAAAGCAUUGCGAGGGCCGUGGCCGGUGAUGACGCAAUGUGAUUUCUGCUCAGUGCUCUGAAUGUCAAAGUGAAGAGAUUCAAUCAAGCGCGGGUAAACAGCGGGAGUAACUAUGACUCUCUUAAGGUAGCCAAAUGCCUCGUCAUCUAAUUAGUGACGCGCAUGAAUGGAUCAAUGAGAUUCCUACUGUCCCUAUCUGCUUCUAGCGAAACCACAGCCGAGGGAACGGGCUCGGUGAAAUCGGCGGGGAAAGAAGACCCUGUUGAGCUUGACUCUAUUCUAAUUUUGUGAAGCAAGUUGGGAGGUGUAGCAUAGGUGGGAGCGUUUCGGCGCGUCCGUGAAAUACCACUACUCCCAGUCUUGCUUUACUUACUGGGUCGGUGUGGAUGAAUUUUACGAUUCGAUUUUUGAACCAAUGUUUUUGUGUAACAAAAUACAGACCACAGCCCAGCACACAUUUAGGAGGGGAGUUUGGCUGGGGCGGCACAUCUUCUACAAGACAACGAAGGUGUCCAAAGAUAAGCUCAGUGAGAACAGAAAUCUCACGUAGCGGAAAAGGCUAAAAGCUUGUUUGAUUUCGAUUUUCAGUGCGAGUCGAAAACGCGAAAGCGUGGCCUAUCGAUCCUUUCACGAUUCCAGGUUUGAAGCGAGAGGUGUCAGAAAAGUUACCACAGGGAUAACUGGCUUGUGGCGGCCAAGCGUUCAUAGCGACGUCGCUUUUUGAUCCU
rnacentral:rRNA from 1 species